rnacentral:rRNA from 1 species
CGAACGGGUGAGUAACGCGUGGGUAACCUACCCAGAAGUGGGGGAUAGCUCCGGGAAACCGGAGAUAAUACCGCAUACGUCCCAGCCGACGCGAGUUGGCUGGAGGAAAGCGGGGAUCUUCGGACCCGUCGCUUCUGGAUGGGCCCGCGUCCGAUUAGCUUGUUGGUGGGGGUAAUGGCCUACCAAGGCAUCGAUCGGUAGCCGGCCUGAGAGGGUGAUCGGCCACAUUGGGACUGAGACACGGCCCAG